GGCUGUCCUGUUACCAUCUUCUGGUGUUAGUGCUGUGCAGAAUACUCAUGGGAAAGGCUGCACUGGAGAGAUGGCGGAUCAGAUGGGAAAGGGAGAACCCAACAGAAACUCAUGGAGGAAUCUGUAAAUGCUGAAGGUGUGUCAGCCCGUGAGCCAGGCAGACGGGAGCCAGG
rnacentral:lncRNA from 1 species